AGAUUGAAACGAGGGCAAUGUUGUUGAACCAUUGCUAAUAUUGCACUCGUCUCGGUCUCA
rnacentral:pre_miRNA from 1 species